GGAACAGGGGGGGGGGUGGCUAUACAUGCAAGUCGAACGCUUUGUGGUUCAACUGAUUUGAAGAGCUUGCUCAGAUAUGACGAUGGACAUUGCAAAGAGUGGCGAACGGGUGAGUAACACGUGGGAAACCUACCUCUUAGCAGGGGAUAACAUUUGGAAACAGAUGCUAAUACCGUAUAACAAUGACAACCGCAUGGUUGUUAUUUAAAAGAUGGUUCUGCUAUCACUAAGAGAUGGUCCCGCGGUGCAUUAGCUAGUUGGUAAGGUAAUGGCUUACCAAGGCGAUGAUGCAUAGCCGAGUUGAGAGACUGAUCGGCCACAAUGGGACUGAGACACGGCCCAUACUCCUACGGGAGGCAGCAGUAGGGAAUCUUCCACAAUGGGCGAAAGCCUGAUGGAGCAACGCCGCGUGUGUGAUGAAGGGUUUCGGCUCGUAAAACACUGUUGUAAGAGAAGAAUGACAUUGAGAGUAACUGUUCAAUGUGUGACGGUAUCUUACCAGAAAGGAACGGCUAAAUACGUGCCAGCAGCCGCGGUAAUACGUAUGUUCCAAGCGUUAUCCGGAUUUAUUGGGCGUAAAGCGAGCGCAGACGGUUAUUUAAGUCUGAAGUGAAAGCCCUCAGCUCAACUGAGGAAUUGCUUUGGAAACUGGAUGACUUGAGUGCAGUAGAGGAAAGUGGAACUCCAUGUGUAGCGGUGAAAUGCGUAGAUAUAUGGAAGAACACCAGUGGCGAAGGCGGCUUUCUGGACUGUAACUGACGUUGAGGCUCGAAAGUGUGGGUAGCAAACAGGAUUAGAUACCCUGGUAGUCCACACCGUAAACGAUGAGUGCUAGGUGUUUGAGGGUUUCCGCCCUUAAGUGCCGCAGCUAACGCAUUAAGCACUCCGCCUGGGGAGUACGACCGCAAGGUUGAAACUCAAAGGAAUUGACGGGGACCCGCACAAGCGGUGGAGCAUGUGGUUUAAUUCGAAGCAACGCGAAGAACCUUACCAGGUCUUGACAUCCCUUGACAACUCCAGAGAUGGAGCGUUCCCUUCGGGGACAAGGUGACAGGUGGUGCAUGGUUGUCGUCAGCUCGUGUCGUGAGAUGUUGGGUUAAGUCCCGCAACGAGCGCAACCCUUAUUACUAGUUGCCAGCAUUCAGUUGGGCACUCUAGUGAGACUGCCGGUGACAAACCGGAGGAAGGUGGGGAUGACGUCAAAUCAUCAUGCCCCUUAUGACCUGGGCUACACACGUGCUACAAUGGCGUAUACAACGAGUUGCCAACCCGCGAGGGUGAGCUAAUCUCUUAAAGUACGUCUCAGUUCGGAUUGUAGGCUGCAACUCGCCUACAUGAAGUCGGAAUCGCUAGUAAUCGCGGAUCAGCACGCCGCGGUGAAUACGUUCCCGGGUCUUGUACACACCGCCCGUCACACCAUGAGAGUUUGUAACACCCAAAGCCGGUGGGGUAACCUUCGGGAGCCAGCCGUCUAAAGGUGACCCAGAUGUGGG
rnacentral:rRNA from 1 species